GUGACUCCAUCUCAAGAAAUCAAAAUAGCGUGGCUGAUCCCCGAGGCCAGGCGAGCCUCAGAACCUUAGACACACACACACACACACACACACACACACACACACAGACACACACACAGAGGAUAAUGAGGCAGAGGACUAAUGGACUAACGCUCUGCCGUGACAGGAUAGGGAGGCUUCCCUCCAAUAAGGAACAAAAAGAGGAGAGGAAGGCCUCCCAGAGGGAGUUGAAGCAACUCCCGGGGCCGCUGCCGAAGCUGAUGUCGGUCUGCUCCUGCUGCGACAGGAAAAGUUCUCGCGUGUUAUUCGCCUAGCUCACGCAGCACGCACGCACUCACCCCGCAACGCACGCCAGCACGAACUCACUCCCCAACGCACGUUCGCUCGCACUCACCCCCCAACGCACGCACGCACGCACAUACGCAAGCACACACGCACGAACGAUCGGACGCACAAGCACGCACUCACCCCCCACCCACGCUCGCACGCACGAACGCAAGAACACACGCAAGAACGAACGGACGAACACACGCUCGCACACACCCAUCCCCAACGCACGCUCGCACGCACGAACACGAAUACACACGCACGAAGGAACGGAUGAACACACGCUCGCACGCACGAAUACGAGUACACACGCACGAAGGAACGGACGAACACACGCUCGCACGCACCCAUCCCCAGCGCACGCUCGCACGCACGAACACGAGUACACACACGCACGAAGGAACAGAUGAACACACGCUCGCACGCACGAACACGAGCAUAAACACGCACGAAGGAACGGACGAACACGCUCGCACGCACGAACACGAGUAUACAUACCCACGAAGGAACGGACGAACACACGCUCGCAGGCACUGACCGCCCAACGCACGCAGCACACAAGCACUCACACACGCAAGCACGCACACAAUCACGUACCCACGCAUGCACACGCACGCAAGCACACACACUCACGUACAGACGCACGCACCCACGCAAGCAUGCAGGCAGGCACGCACGCACACACUCACACAAGCAAGCACGCAGCCACGCACGAAAAAACGCACGAACUCACGCAAGUACGUAAGCACGCACGCACGCAAGCAAGCACGCACGAAGGCACGGACACUCUGAUGACGACCCAGGCAACAAGGCACCCUGACACUCCCUGGACACUCUCUGAACAAUGGAUGGACACUCUGAUGACGACCCACGCAUCUAGCAUUAAGGCCUUAGGUGUUGUGUGUUGGGUAGGGUUGCUGACUCCUCUGGGGUGAGGGAGACUCAUCCUGAGCAGCAUGCAGCACCAAGAUAAGGCGAUACAGCUAGCCUGCACAACGCCAGGAAACGGAAAAUUAAAUACCGAAGAAACGAUAUUACAGAAAAAGAAUACGAAAAUAAAAAAGUCUUGGAAACACAACAUGGAAUGACACUCUGAUGACGACCCACGCAACAAGGCCCCCUGACACUCCCUGGACACUCUCUGAACAAUGGACGGACACUCUGAUGACGACCCACGCAACAAGGCCCCUGACACUCCCUGGACACUCUCUGAACAAUGGACGGACACUCUGAUGACGACCCACGCAACAAGGCCCCUGACACUCCCUGGACACUCUCUGAACAAUGGACGGACACUCUGAUGACGACCCACGCAACAAGGCCCCUGACACUCCCUGGACACUCUCUGAACAAUGGACGGACACGCUGAUGACGACCCACGCAACAAGGCCCCUGACACUCCCUGGACACUCUCUGAACAAUGGACGGACACGCUGAUGACGACCCACGCAACAAGGCCCCUGACACUCCCUGGACACUCUGAACGCUGCCCUGACCAUUUGCGACAAAAAAUCUCCUCACGACGUAACCUAAAAAGGACAAAAUCCCCCCCGACAAAAAAAAAAAAAAUAGUUAACUUUCCAUACUAUAACGAAAUAGUUGUCACCAACAAGACAUCAAAAUAAAGAAGCCAUAAAAAAGAAAAAGAAAAAAAGCAACAAAGAAAUCAACUCAAGCAGUAGUAAAAAAAAAAAGACCUAACAAAUCUAAAAA